CCUGGAAAAUCCCAUGAAUGGAGGAGCCUGGAUGGCUACAGUCCAUGGGGUCGCAAAGACUUGAGUAAUUAACUUCAAAAAAGCUAGCUUAUCUUCAGCAAGGAGGUAAUCCCUUCAACUUUGAUAGGUUUUGUUGAAAUGGGCACAGUAUAACAAAACUAUAUAUUUAAUGGAGGUCUUUUACUGACUAAAGUGAUGAGGAUAACUGGUUUACUCACUUUAUUAGUGCAAAGCUGUUACUGUUACCAAGGUCAUGGAACCAAUCCAGGCUAACAGAAUGAGCUCCACAAAUGCAGGGACUGGUACCUUUUUCUUCUUGUAUCUCUAACACCAAGUAAAGGACCUGGCCCAGAGCAGGACCUCAAUACAUGUUAACUUUUGUAUUCACUGAUAAAGUUUUCUUGUACAUGCCCACAAACUGUACUUGUAAUACCAGUUGGCAUUUUACUCCCUAGGGAUAAAGCUAGAGAGCUGGGAAAUCAGUGGGUGGCACAAACUUUAUACAUGAAGGAUAUGUUUUCAUUGUACUUUUGGUGUUGCCUUAUAAUAGUAGGAUCUUGUGGGUUGAGUUGUGUCUUCCAAAAUAAUAUGCUGAUGUCCUAUCCCUGAUACCUGUGAAUGUGACCUUAAUUGGAAUUAGGGUCUUUGCAGAUGUAAUCAAGUUAAGAUGAAGUCAUGCUGGAGUGAGGUGUGCCCUAAAUCCAAUUAUAAGUGUCUUUAUAAAGUGAGAGUUAUUUGAAGACAGGAUACUCAAGGAAGAUGGCCCUGUGACCAGGCAACAGAGAUUGGAAUGAUGUAGCUGCAAGCCAAAGAAUGCAGAAGAUUGCCACGAGCCACCAGAAUCCAGAAAGAGGCAAGGAAGGAUUCUUCUCCGAGACUUCAGAGGGAGCAUGUGCCUGAAGGAGGACAGGAAAGAGUAAUGGAUGAAGAAUUGGAAGUGGAGGAGAGAUGGAAGGAGUACCACUGGAGAGGGAGCAUGUGUGGAGGGAGUAUGACUGAACAGGUGGAGUAUUUAGAGAAAGGAAGUAACUUUGUGGCUUGUCAUGGUUAAAUUUUAUUUGGUGUUGUUACUAUUAGUAAUAUAAUGUAGUUAGCAUAAGUCUGGUUCAAAGUAGAAACCUGAUAAACAUAACAUUUUGUAUUUUCUUUUAAGUUGAUAUGAGGACUUCUUUACAUUGUGAACGUGGUUCACCUAAUUUGUCACAUUAUGCUGGUUGAUGCUGAGGACGCAGUGGUAAGAGACACCCAGGCCCUUCUCUCAUGGUGUUCAUCAUCCAGUAAGAAAACAGAUCUUGUUCCCAGAUAGUGAUGACCCAGGUUGGGCAGAACAGUAUCGGUGAGCACAGGAGGGUGAAACUGGAAAAAAACCUCACACACAUAGAGAGAACGGCACAGUGUGGUAUACACUAAUUUACCCCCUCACCAGAUUCAGAAUGUGCAAGACUUUGACACCAGAAGCACAGGUUACAAAAGAAAAACAGACAAAUUGAUCUUAUGAAAAUUUUAAAAAUGUUAUGUAUCCAAACACACUACACACAGAA